CCGGCGACCGGCGGACGGGUGCGUAACGCGUAUGUAACUACCUUUGACAGGGGGAUAACAUCGAGAAAUUGGUACUAAUACCCCAUAACAUCACCGGAGGCAUCUUCGGUGGUUGAAAACUCAGGUGGUCAGAGAUGGACAUGCGUUGUAUUAGCUAGUUGGUGAGGUAACGGCUCACCAAGGCGACGAUACAUAGGGGGACUGAGAGGUCAACCCCCCACAUUGGUACUGAGACACGGACCAAACUCCUACGGAAGGCAGCAG
rnacentral:rRNA from 1 species